rnacentral:rRNA from 1 species
GGAACCUGCGGAAGGAUCAUUGA